UGCGCCACCACCGCCUGGCCAUAAAGACACUCUUAAUACCAGUUUAGGCACAUGCCUUGCUCUUAGACUUCAGUGUGACCUCAACUUGCUGGUCUCUAUGAAACCCUAUUUAGAAAUAAAGCUGACCCCCCCUUUACUGGAUAGGGCUUGUAAUAACUAUUUUUAGUUGUCAACUUUAUUACAUCUGAAAUUAACCACAGUUCAGAACUGGAAUGCACACCUGUAAGAGAUUUUUUUGUCUGGUUUAAAGUAGGUGGAUUCACUUCCAGUCUGGAGCUUUGAGGUAGCAAGACACAUACUUUUGAUCUGGAUCUUGAGACAUGAAGACACACACCUUUAAUUAGAUAUUGAGGCAGAAAGACACAUGCCUUGAUAUACCUUUAAUCUGGGCCACGCCUUCUGUUGGGAGCCUGUAUAAGGACAUGGAAGGAGGAAGCUCCUGCUCUUCACCUGCUUGCCCUUGCCUUGCUAGCAGGUCCAUUCCUUCACUGUUGUUAAAGUCAACUUAUUUGGGAUUCCAGCAUCUACUGAAGGCUGGCUGAGAUACCCAGCUUUGUGGACUGAGCAAAUACUGGAUCCUUGGACUUUCCAUUUACAGCCAGCCAUUGUUGGAUUAGUUGGACCACAGCCUGGACUACUGUGGAGGCACUAACCCAAUUCUCCAUCUUCACUGAGAAGAAUCAGGAGAUGAACAAGGUGGAGAAACUGACCAUUCAGCUACAGAUGAUGACCUGUGAGAGGAAUGAACUGCAUGGUAGCCUGACCCAUUAUACCAACAAUGAUUUGAACAGCAGUUUCAAGCAGAGCAGCAGGCAUGGCUUGCCAAUAAUUUGGUUUCUCAGAAGAGGCUAACUUCCCAGAAGUACUUGUACAUGGACACUGAAGUGAACACCUCAGAUGGCAUGAGAUCAAUUUCAAGUCCUUCGAAUGGUGCUUCAGCAGGAUCCAAUCCUCCAUUAGUUUCUUGUUCUCCUGCCUCAGCAUGCCCACCUUCUUCUCCAGCUGAGUCUGUUCCAUCAGGAGCCAGAUGUGCAGACCACUGGAGACACGCACGGCAUAAUAAGGCCCUGCCAGCCUCCUCCUGCCACCCCAGACUCCAGGAACCAGCAGCCCAAAAGGUGUCAGGUUUCCAAGAAGACAAAGCCUAGAUCCCAUACAGACGUGACAGCUGCACUCAGAAGGCCAAAAUGAGAGAACAGCGGAUAGCAGAAAGAAUCAAUCUACCACAGAAAACCCCAACACCAAAAGGGAUCCACUUCCCUUCAAUAUAAAGAGGAGUCCCCCAAUUAUUCUUAAUCUCCGAGGUAAUGGGGAAACAUCAGCAAGUAGUGGGCAAGUACCCUCUGAGGGAGGGCAGGAGACCCCAGGGGAGUUUAUUCUAUCUACAGGCUCCACAGCAACUAGAUCUGUAAAGCCUGCGUAUGAGCUACAGAUGCCCAGGACUGCCUGACAAUCCUAUCAUGGUGGAAAUUGCUUGUCUAGAUGCUCCUGAGGCUCCAGGACAAUGGUGGCAGGGGCUAACAGUCUCUUUUACACUUAGCAAAACUGAGUCCAAGAGACACAAAUCCAAGAGCUGCUUGCUAAGUCUGCUUACUAAGAAGAAGAACGGCUAGAGUCAGAGUUGGGGAAACUCCAGUUCAGAGAAAAAGACAGGCAGAGAUGGCCACUCCACAACUAAUGGAGUUCCUGUCAAGACGGGCACUUACCGACAGAAGACUCUCCUUGGUCAGAUCACUGAACUUCUCUGAGGACUCAGUGUUCUCAUUCUGCAAGCUCUUUAAUUUUGACAUGAUCUCUUUAUGCUCCAACUUCAGUUUCUUACAGAAUUUGGCUUGUGGUAGAGACUAGAGACAGAAGGAAGGAAGCCCGAGAACACAGGCCUCAAGGCUCACGGGAACUCAAGUUGUAUCCUGGUCCACCACUGCACAGUGGAUACCACACUCUGGCUCAAAUGUACUGGGACUUCCUGGUGCUUUUAAACUUGUUAUCCUGGCCCCGGGUCAGCAGAGGCUGGGGGUUCAGAUGGAGGCUGCCCUGGCUGCAUGAGCUUACUCAGCAGGCCUGAGGGUCAGUCUAGCUUUCUAUGUUACCAGGAGUCUAUGCCACAGGACUUGGCACACCAGAUAUUGCAGUGACAUUUCUCCUGUUUCACAAGAGUGAUUCUAGGUCCUCGGUGACUAUUACUGAACAGUUAGACAGAGCACGUAAUUCUGGGGUUGAGACCCAACAUCAGGACAGCUAUAAAAACUCCCCAAGGGAUUCCUAGGUGCCACCAAGCUGAGCACAUUGGGCAAGAGCAGUGCUGCUUAAAGUGGGGCUCCCAGACCUCAGCACUGGCAUCACCUGGAAACUGAGACAGGAAAAUCCUCAGGUUCUACCACAGUUCCCUGGCUCCCAAGAGUCUGGAGGGACACACAAACCUGCAAAUACACACACACACACACACACACACACACACACAUACACACA